AUAAUGAUUAUAUAAAAUUAUAUUUAACUCAACAUGAUAUUUCAAAGUAUUUUUAUAAUUUUGUAAUAAUAUUAUUGUGUAAUGUUAAGACAAAUAAACUGUAUCAAAAAAAGUAAAAAUAUAAAAUCACGUUAAUGGAUUUCAAGCGCAAAAUAAUUUUUUCAAGCUAUCAUAAAAGGGCUUAGGACGCUGCACACUUUGAAAAAAAUUGUAUUAAAUGAUUUAAAAAGUGUGAAAAAAAAGAAAAAAAACACAUUACAUAAGGUACCUUGACAUCUGGUUGGUUGAUAGAACGUUGAAGCACCGACCUCCAUGCUGCAGUUUUACUUUUGUUUAAACUAGCUGCCAAUUCCCUCACUGACCUUUUCUCUACACUGGCAUUGCUUAAAGAACUAGCAGUACUACUUGCUGAUAACGUCGGCGGUAAUGAAGCAGGACCACUUACACCGCUAUCCGUUGAUUCAUCUAGUGCAUCUCCAGAAUCAGGUGUAUUUCCAGCUGAAGUAUUUGGACUAGAACCAUCGCUUAAUAAAUUAAAUUCUCCUAAAACAUUAAACACACACACACACAUAUAUAUAUAUAUAUAUAUAUAUAUAUAUUAUUACACACAAUAUAUAUUAUUAUAUAAGCUAAGAAUUUUAUCAUUAAAUAAUUUGCUUUUUUUCAUACCAGAUUUUCUAUCAGUAGCCAUACUCCAGGGUCUUGGUUUAGGAGCUGUUAUAGGCGGAACUGGUUUAGUCUUGGAAAGAGCACCAUUGCUUUUUCCAUCUGUAAGUGAACUAUUUCCCUUGGUUAAAGACCUUAACACUGGAGAUUUCGAUGCUUCCGAAUUAUUUUUUGUACUGCUACCAUUUGUUGGGCUACGAAGAUCAAAACCUGUCGAUCUUAAUUUAAGAGAAGGUAAAGGUUGAUUUGCAGUCUUAUCUGUAUCUACCGCAGAUUUUUUUGUUAAACUUUUCCUGGUUUCGUAAUCUUUAGGAACAGCCGUUGCAUCUUUAUCCGAGGAAUUUGUAGCAGUUGUUUGUUGUAAUACCUUACUAUUUUCAUCCGAAUCUCGUAAACUGCGUGUACUUGUACCAGAACCAAUAAUGGGUAAUGUACUACGUUUAGAUGUAUCAGCGGUAUUACCGACACAAUUAUUACAUACAUUAUUACUUGUAUCUUUGUUGCUAUCAGAUUUUGUAAGAAUUCUUUCAUGAUUUUGUGCAUUGUCUGUUGUAUUUCGCCGAGUUAACGGAGAUGCAGUUAACGGCGAAUCACCUUGAGAUCUUCUGCCAACAAGAGGAGAAAAUUUUUCUAAAUUAUCGCUAGAUCGUGAUCGCGGGGCAGGCUCAAGAAGUGUUUUUAACAUUGGAGAGCUACAGCCAGGUUUUUUAUCCAUCUCAGGUGGAAUACUUUUAUGACUCGUAAGAGAUAAAUUUGGGCUACCAUCCGUUGGAAAAGUAUGCAAAGAGCUAUAGCAAAAUAAAAAAAAGUGUAAUGUACAUAAUUUCCAUAAAAUAUUAAUGAAUUAUAGUUUUAAAAAUAAUACCUGUCAUCACUUGUGGGGGAUAUAAGAGGUGUUGUUGGUGUAGUUGGUCUGAAAAAUACAUCGAGGCCUUCUCCAAGAGCAAGACCAUCCACUGGUUGAUCUGGUCUCAGCAUUGGUCUUGUAGGUGCUCUAGUUUUUGUUCUACGUGGUCUAGAUUUUACUAAAUGUUGCAGUUGCUGUCCUACAGUAUUGGGUAAUUCAGAAACAGAAUCUAGUGAUUCUGUUAAAGAAUGUUCUGUCUCUGAAAUAGCUAAAAGAAUAUGUUGAUAUCAGAAAUGAUAAAUAUAUCAACUAUAACAUUUUUUUAUGUUAAAAAAAAUUAACCUUCUGCUUGACUUUUUGGUAAGGAUGGUAACAGAUCUGGAAUGUCAUCAGCUGA
rnacentral:misc_RNA from 1 species